UAAAUAUACUCCUAUAGCAUUCAUUUCAAAAGGAACGAAUAAAUAUAUUUAGAAUUCAAAUUCUCUCUAAAGAAAGAGAGUUUAAAAUCCUUAACAGGAUUGUGAACUAUUUAUUUGGCAUCAAUUUGUCUGUCUCAUACAUUAAGUAAUUUGACAGAACUAACUAGUGAAAACUAACCAAAACCAGAAAUCAAACUGAGCAUAUAGUCAAGAAGGAAAAGGGAAGAGUUUGAGGAAAUGAUAUUUUCCCAUCAGUGGAUAGGCAUGCAUACAUUAAAGGCAUAAAAGGCAGCAGGGGGAGAAACAAAAGCUGUAUGCUGAGGAUCCUGCAAGUCUGAAUUAACUAAAUGGGGAAAAAAAUGAAAUCAUUCUGCUUAAACUUCUUCACUAAUAAAAGGAGAAUCGCUUUUGUUAAAUAUGCUUGGUGUGAUUAUCAAGCAAAAUUUUUUUCUCCCAGACAUCUAUGAAUAAAACAUGCAUUUGAGCAUUAGGUAAACAAACAAUAAAUGGAUGAGUUCAAUUGCAACAUAAUAACAUUUUAUUUAGAAAACAUAUAUAAUCAUAUUUGUAUCGGCAAUCCAAAUUUAAUGACUUCUUUCAGUAAAAUCAAUGUGCCUCACAAAUAACGUCUGAUGCAUAAGGAUUGCUUAUUCUUUACCUGUAUUUUCUAUUUUCUCCAAUAAACAGAUUUUUAAGGUCUCUCCUGAAAUAUACAUAAAGCAGAUGAAGUACAAUUUCUCAGAAAAAAAAAUUUUUGAAUCACCUUUACUUUUAGGUUACAAAUGUAAAAAUACAUUUUAAACUACAUUUCUGGGACUGGGGGGAGAAAACAUUCUCAGGCUAGUAUAACUUGGGCUGAUUUGAAUAAGGCUCUGUGUGUAGCUGAACCACAGUCUUUGGCUUAUUAGCCAUUUCAUUAGCAUGGCAUCUUCUUCUGCAAAAUAUGAAUGAGAAGAAACCAUUUACAAUAAGGAAAGCAAACAACAGAAUGAAUCUCCUCUGUUGGUGUUUUAUAAGACUGUUAAACAGAAAACGGAGGGAAGAACUCUCUUUAGACGAUAUCACUUAAUUAAGUAAAGCAUCCUAAUCAGAGUCCCCUCCAAUUGUAAUGACUGUAGGGAGUCAAGUACAUUUCUGUCUAUAUUAGAGUAUCUAACUGCAAUGAUUUAUUGAUAUUUAUUUUAGAAGUACAACACAAAAGCAAUAAAACAGAGGAAUCAAGGAGAGAGGGAACAUGCCGUUGCUUACUGCAGGUACCAUCAGAGCACAACAAAAUUCCUGAUUUUCUUGUGGAAGGUUUUGCUUUCUAAAAUCAGAGUACACCUUCAGAUGGGAAUGUUCCUUCCUCACACUUGAGUUUUCCGAAUAGUCUCUUUGACGUUUCUUUGUCCAUUGGAUGAAUCAUUGAUUCACUUUCUUCUCUGCCAGAAUCAUUGCAAAUGAGUGGAUGAGCACCUGCUGUUUUCUGCAGUGACAUUACUGGAUUGCAUUCUACACUGAUUUUAGUCUUAAAAAAUACAGCUUCUCUGUAUGGGAGAGAGAUUUGAGGAAGGAGGGUAAAUAUACUGUAUAGGCAGACAGACAUUGGCUGCCCUCCAAGCUGCACACAGCAUAAACUUGUUUAUCUGCCACAUUUCACAAAUCUCAAAAACAUGAGAAUAAUCAGGCGAGCAACUGGAUAAGUGAUUCACACUGGGGAACCUAACCAAUGUUCUGAUGAGAGGAUACCAUGAUGUUAAGACAUUGGGGCAAAUAGGCUUGUAUUUGUAGAAACUGUGCAUAAUGAGGUUGAUUAGUGGUUCAAAGGAGAAAACAUUCUACACCAAAAUGAAUUUGAAGAGGUAGCCCAACCCUGUGGAUUUUGGCUGGGUCUACAGUUACCUGGAGAAUUGAGUAAAGAAAUAUUCUUUCACCUAUACUAUUUCAAUUAUUGGGGCCAAUGUGCAUUUUGACUUCCCCUUAGUUGUUAUGAUAAUUUAUUUUUGUAUACCCAGAUCUAAAUAUUGGGGAUUAGUGCCUUAAAACCUCAAAUUACACCCACACAUAUAUUCAAAAUUAAAUUAUCAAACAGGCUUACAACUCUUCAUUCUGUAGAAGCAAAAUUUUCUUAAAAGGUUACAUUCAUUUUUCUAACUGUGGAAGAUAAAUUGUUUGGUAGUAAGUGAAUUAAGUGGACAAGGCUAUAACAAUUGCUAAAUGACUGCUCUUUUUCUUUUAAUUUCUGUUGUUUCUUCCUCAUUUGCUGUUUUUUAAUCCGUUUCUUUCUUAUUCUAAUACUUAUUUUGUUUUAGCAUUUAGUUGUAAAGUGGGAGCUCUUAGAGGUUUUGGGACUUAUCUCAAAAGUACGCUCUGUUUCUGAAGGUCUCUUAUGGUUGUUUAUGGAUUUCAGGCUUGGAUUACUUCCAUAAACUAAACCUGGUUAUAAUCACAGCAAGAUAGAUUAUCUAUUUGCAUGACACAUAUGUCUGUUAGUUUCUAGUAUAGACCUACCAUCCUACAAUCAAAAAAAAAAUGUAGGUUUCUCUACAUUUGUAAACAUAAAAUACUGUAUUUGCAGAGAGCAGAGCGAGGAUACCACGGGACAUUGAAAUCAAUGUUGUACACACCGGGACUCUUCUCCCCUGUGUUGCAGAGAGAAUGGCAAAUUGCUCCAAGUUUUUUACACUGGAAAACUUUGUUAGAUUAGUAACCAAGGACUAAUCUUCAUCUUAGCAACAGGAAAUCUUCAAAAAGGUGUGCUUUCUUCAGGAUCAGGCACAGAAACUGACUGACUGAUUCCAAUGAUCAAGGUUUCAAAACCUAAUGUCAGAAUCUACCAACUCGUUCCAUUGCAUGGGAAACCUUGCAGGUAUUACAAUACAAGAACUUAAAAGCAUUCCUUAGAAGAUGUGUCCAGGUAAGUGACAAGUCAAUGUUUGUGGGUGGUUUAAGAGUGCUGCUAAAAUUAUUGACAACCUCAUCAAUGGCCUGAAGUCCCAACACAUUGAAUUUGGCAAUCACUGGACAUUUUACCAAGUUUCCUAUAUGACUUGGGUUUUGAGUAUAUGCCCAUGAUGCAGAAGUCAGUUCUGUAAACCUCAAUUAAGGUCAACCAUAGCUCUUUAUUGAGUCUUAAAAAACCUUUUGGAGAAUAUUUUAAGUGAUGGCUAUUCUGAGUCAAAAAUGAUCACUAAAUUCCAUAUAAUCCAUAUACCACAGGAACCUAAGAAAUAAGAGACUCAGUGAAAGUGGAGUUUUAAAUUAUAAAAACAAUAUAAAAAAGACAUAAAGUAAAAAAAAAAAAAAUUAUUUUACACCAGCUUCCUGAAACCCAUUCCCCGGUGGUAACCGUUAGUAAUAGUUUCUUGUAUAUUUUUGUAGACAUUUUUCACUCACAUGCAAGCAUUUCUUAUUUUAAAUCACAAAUAAGAUCAUAUAAUAUAUGUGCUACUCUGUAACUUGCUUUUUUUCACUUAAUGUAUUUUGGCUAAUGUUCCAUGCCCUCACAAAGGGACCUACCUCAUUCUUCUAACAGUGCACAGGAUAUUAUAUAUGUUGUUGUAUGUAUAACUAUCCCUGUAUUGAUAGAUAUUAGGUUAUUUUUUUGUUUUUUUAUAUAUAUUUUUUGCUUUUCCAAAGAAUACAUUGGGGAAUGUAUGCAUAUUCUUUUGUUCUUUUAUAAACGUAUUUGUAGAAUUAAUUCCUUGAAGUGGAAUUGCUAGAUAAAAACACAUUUAAAAAUUUGAAUUACAUUGCCAUAUUACUGAUAUGACCAAAGAGAUUAGAUUGUAUCAGUUUGCCUUUCACUGACAGUUUUUGAGAGGGAGGGAUUUUUGAUAAGAUCUGGUAUGGGUUCUGUUUGUGAUGUGACCGCCUGCCAUUCCAGCUCUGCAAAUGUGGCUAAACAUAGUUCAGCAGCAGCUGGAAUAGUUAGUGAUGGCCUAGUGGAAAGAGGGAAUAAGCCUAUGUGCUAGGAUAGCAGCAAUGGCUGGGGAUGGGGUGGGGAAUGGCACUCUGAGUUUUCACCAAGUCUCCUUGCUAGCUGCUUUCUGCAAGUGGAGGUGGGGGUGGGUGGGCUGCAGAGCAAAGCCAGUGUCCCUUCAUAUAGGCUGUCAUGAGAAUGGAGAUGAAGUUGAAUUAGAACCGUGUUCCACAUACACACACAAAUACACAGGCACACACACUCACAUAAUCUCUCUCUCUCUCUCUUUCUGCUCAUGUUCUAAUACAGGGGUGCAUUUACCUUUACUUGGGCUGAGCUUCCGAAGAAGUGCUGUUCUCAGCCACUUGUGGCUGAUCUUCACCAAGCAGCAUUCUCUGGGCUUCCUCUCCAUUUUACCAUUCAGCCUCUCUGUGUGUGAUUAACCCAGAAAAUUUAUCUGACAUUGACUCAGUUCCUGGAUUUGAAGAGAUAACCUAAUCCCUGAAACUUCUACUCUUUAAUAUUUUUAUGAGCCCCAUUUUCUUCUUUAAAAACUUGGAGUGCCUCUUAAGCUACACCCUAGAUCUCAGCAUUUUAAGUUGAGGGGUUGCUUUAAUGUUCUCAAGGUUAUAGUUACACUAGUAAGUUUAGCUUGUUUUCAGUGCUUAAAUGCUAGGUACUAUUCUAGGGGCUGCAGAUGCAAAGAUGGAUGAAACAGUCCAUGCUUUCCAGAAGCUCAUAAAAUAGUGAGGAGACAAUCAGACAGCACUAACUAAAAUACAGGCCACUCUUAGAUAAGUGAUGAAUAGAGGUAUUUAACCAAAUUCUGUCAAGUCCUGCUUCUGGAAAUUUAUCCUACAGAUGUAUCUGUGCAUGUAAAAAAGGACAAAUGCACAAAAUUUUCACUGUAACAUUGUAAUGAUAAGAGUUAGGAAACAGCCUGAUAUCCAUCUGUAAAGGCACUCUAUAGCAUUUAAUAAACUCUCUAUGUACUGAUAUGGAAUAAUGUCCAGGAUAUAUAUUUAUAUGAAAAAGCAAGGUACAGAACAGGUAUAGAGUAUUUCUUUUGAAUAAGGAAUGUAGGAAAGUAAAAAUAAGAAUAUGUGUUAACACUUGCUUGAAUGUGCAUAAACACAUUGGAAAACCUCAUAAGAAACCAAAGGAAGUGCAAAUCUCUGGAGGCCAAUGGGGUUAGUAGGGUGGAUAGGGAAAGGGGGUGAAGCACAGCUUCUCAGUGUAUACCAUUUUAUGUCAUUUUGGUUUUUUUGUCUGUUCAAAAACAUAAAAUUAAAAAAUUAAAUUAUAAAAUAAAUUUCCCCCUACCCAAGUUCUGGAAGCAGAAGAUGCAUUUUGAGGUGUUUGGAGGUACUUGGCGACAUUCAUUUGGUAUAAAGAACAUUACAUGGACUGGGCAAGGAGACUCUGAAUAAGAGAUAGAAACCUUCUUAGAAACCACUGGAUUUUUCUUACCACAUUCUUAGACCCAUUAUCUCAUGGAAAUGAUUUUAGACCAGAGCUAGGAGGAGGAAUAUUGUUCUCAACAAAGUUCUCAGAGAUGGACUUUCUUAUAACAGGACAUAUGUAAGACAUUGGAACAAUUUUAGGAGUUGACUUCAUUCUCUAACUUACUAUGGACAAGCCUGUUUUGAGUGGCCACUUCAGGUUUCUUAUGAUAACUUGGUUGGAGAGGCUUGAUUUGCCCAUACUUUUGAUUGUCCCACUUAGCCAUGAAGCUGAGCAAUGUGAAAAAUUUCUCCUUUAAGCUUUAAACAAAGAUCUUAUGCUGAGAAACAAAUAAGAAAAAGUAGCUGCCAUGCCACAAAAAUACUACUUUUCUUUGACAAAGCUCUGUAAAUUUCCCAGAUUAAGGUCAUUUGGGGCAAGGUAGUGGAAUUGAGCCAGAUUUUGUGAAUUAUCCGGUUACUUCCAUGAACUAAAAUUAAGAGGUUAUGAGAGAAGGUGGCAGAGAAUAAAGAAAUUAUGAGAAAAACUCUUGGUGAUGAUUUCAUGAUUAUAAAAGGCAGUGUUAGAAUAUUGCUGAAGAGUGAUAUAAUCAUCAUGCAUGUUCCACAAGGAGGAUAAAAGGCUGGUCAUGGAUAAGAGAGUAUUUUACUUCCCUGAACAUGUCUACACCAAAUCUCCUCACUCAGCUUUGCCCCUUUUCACUUCAUUUCAGCCAUUUUUUUUUUUUUUGCCAUAUGACCACACCCAGGCAAAAAGCUCUGUUUGCCCGGGAAGCUAGUGGCAGGUGGCCGGAAGCACGGAGGGGGCUGAGCACCAGUGUGGUCGACUCACGCCUUCCACUCACCAGUUUCUUUCAUGGCUUAUUUUUAUCCCCUGUCAGUCCUGUGGAAAAGAGUCUGAAAAAUCCUGGUGGUUUAGCAACAAGACUCCCAGACAUGAUAAACUGACCAUAUAUAACUUAUCUAUCCCAAACCUAGUGUCAGUUUCUUUUUUGAAGGACUAGGGAGUCAUUAUUUUAUUUUUAUGUGAUUACCACACAAAUGUGAACCCAUUAAGCAAGGUACUGCCAGCAAUCAGGGCCACUUAUUACAUAACAUCAGUAAGAGGGACUCAGGUGAGAAACAACUCUGAUUAUAGGUAUUUAGCUCAAAUGUGCAUCAGUUAUAACUCCUUAGAUGUAUUUCUUUUAGCAGCUAAUUGAAAUACUUUAUCAGUGAAAGUCUUGACACAACAGUUAUACAAACAUACAUAUAAGAACAUGGGGAAAUUAAAUAAGACUUACAAUAUACACCUUAAAAAAUGAUGGCUUAAUUUGUACUCCCUUUGUAAUUUUAACUAAAUAUUGUGGUGAGUAGUUCUCACUCUAAAUCCCAAGUAUAUGGGCAUUUAUUACACACAAUUGAAAAUACUUCAGGAGGCUUGUGAUUAACGCUGUGGUAUUCAGGCACAGUUUAUUAAGACUCUCAAUCAAAGACAAAAGGCCCAAGCAGAUGAUGAAACACGAGAAAAGAUGUAUAUAUACAACCAAAGAUUUAAUUCAGACUUGCUCCUAUCAGCUCAGUUCUAGCUCUUGGCUUGUCAGGGAUGGCCUCGAGCAAGCCUUCUCUGUACCUGGCCCAGGGGUGCCCUCCAGAUUAGCCCCUAGGGUAAGAUUGUAAGAUAAAAUACAGGAUUCCUAGUUACAUUUAAUUUCAGAUCAACAGUACAUAAUUUUUUAGUAUAAAUAUGUCCCAGAUAUUGCAUAGGGCAUACUUGCAUUUUUUUAAAAAAAGUGUUUGUUGUUUAUCAGAAAUUCAAAUGUAACUGGGUGUCCUAUAUUUUUAUUUUUCCCUAAAUCUGGCAACCCUACCCCAGGGGUGUUGAAGAACACCCACACAACCCCCUUCUCUGCCCUCCAUGGCUGAACUUGGGACUCUGAAUCAUGCAGACAGACAUGCGCCCUAUCUCUUCUGUGCUUACUCUUUGAGGCAGGGUGUUUCAUAGGUUGGAAAUCCUCAAAUCUGGAAUUGCAGUCCAGCCCCCUAGUCUGGAUCCUGUGUACUAGUCUGCCACAACUGCUUAGACUUGCUUCCUCCUAACAUAGCAUUUGGUUCAUGCUGCAUAUUUCGGAGUUUUUUUUUUUUUUUUUUUUAAACAUUAGUGGUUGGAGAGAGAAAAUAGCUGCACUGCCACUACGGCAAAACUCUCUCUCCUCCCCUCUCCCUGCUCACUACCUGAACUUAAAUUCCAGUUGUAACUUUCCAAAGAUGUCCUUAAGGUUUGGUGCUUUGAUUUUAAUGGGUGGACAGAUGUGGAAUGACAUAAGAGGCUCCUUUCAGCCUGUUUGUACCCCUGGAUUGUUCUCUUGGGAGUGUGGUAAAGGUAGCUACUGAAAGGUUUAGUUCAAGAUUUUCUAAGUCAAGCCAAAUGUCACUGCUACUAAAAUGCACCAAGAAAUGGAACAGCAAUGUGGUAGAAUAAAGAAUAAAAAAAAAGUAGAGUUGGAAGAUUUGGGGUUGAGUACUGACUCUGUACCUGAAUUAGUUGUGAGAUUUUACGCAACUCAUUUAGCGUCCAUGAGCCUCAGUUUCCUCCUCAAUAAAAUGUAGAUAGCAAUAGCUCCCUCAUAGAACUACAAAGAGAAAUAAUGUGUGUGGAAAUGAUUUGUAAAUUUCAAAUACUAGCCAGAUGUUUGUGGUGGUGAUGAUGAUGAUGAUGGAGAUGAUGGUCAAGAGAUAAAGAAACAUUAGAGGACAUCAGCUAUGAAAGAAAUAUUUAAAUUCAAACUCUAAAAUUUUUCCUAUCUACUCAUUCCACAAGAACUAUCUAGAUAAGAGUAUUGUUCCUGCAUGGGUUGGGAAAAAAAACACACACCAAAAAUGAAGCUAACUCCAUAUGUGUUUAGGACACAGCUUACUAAAAGAUCUCAUGCCUACAAGGGGGAUGUUUGGAAUAGAAAUUUUUAUUUAUUUUGGAUCAUAUUGAAAAACAGACAUCAGAGAGGAGCACUGAGCAACAUAUCGUUUAAAGUUCUUUAGUUUUUUUAAAAUUUUUGGGUCAACACUCAUUCAACGCCUAGCCUAUUUAUUUUUUAAAACAUUAGCAAGGCCUCUCAGGCACAUUAUUAUUAUUAUCAUCAUCAUCAUCAUCAUCAUCAUAGCAUCUUGUAGUUUACGGUGCAUAAUGAAGGCUCUCUUGAGUGUGCAGUGUAUCUAUCUCUGCAGUGAUAAAGCAGAGGGAGCAAGGGAAGAGGUGGGACCGGUGUCCUCUGGUUUGCUUUCAGCCCUCCCAUCCUAUGUUCAGAGAUGAGAUGGAGGAAGCUCACCAGCCAGCUCUGGGGAAGGCUGCGGGGAGGACAGAGUCAUCAGAGUGUCAGGCGCCGACUCUGAUUGAAGAGUAUUUAUCCUUGUUUUAUGUGUAUUAUAGAAAACUGGAGCAUAUAGGUAAGCAAAAAAGAGAAUAUAACAAUCAUCACUAACUACCCUCCAUCCGUUUCAAUGCUCACGAGGCGUUGGGCUGUAUUGCUCCGUAUCCCUGCAUGUGCUGAGCGAUGAGUUCUGUGUAGGAGGAAGAGUUCAAACUCACUUUGUCUGCAUCCCCCCCCCCAAAGAGGCCUUUUAUGGUCUUCUGCACUGAGGCAUUACUCAAAAAAAAAAUGCACAUCAACCAAAGCUUUAAAGUGGCUGUUGGAUUAAAUUCCACUAAUAUAAUUCCUGUAAUGAUAGGACAAGGACAGAAAUUAAACCUCUGGAUUUAAAAAUUGUACAUCACAUAUUUUCUUCAUCUCCUUGCACACAAUGCCCUAAAGUUCUGUGGAAAGCACCAGACUUUUCCAGAGAAAUGCAGAACAUAAGUUAGUGCUAAAAGUCUUUGCCAUCAAGGGUUCCCCAAAUCAUGAGCUUCAUCCCUUACAGGAUCUCAAAUUGCUUUUCUUUCACUUCUGUUUCCCACGCUUGGUCUUGAAUGCAAGUGAGGUGGCAUCCCAGCUUAGCUGAAAAGAGCUCACCUUUAGAAUUCAGAAUCAUCUGACCUUGUCUGAGGGGCUGAGAGGGGGAGUACAUGGGGAUCAUGUGGGACAAGCCUGGCCCAGUUAUCAGGCUUUGGUUGUUGGAGCAGAGUAGCUAUUCCAAGUACCUCAGGGUCGGUUGCAUUUGCCCCAGGCCUAGUUGUCCAUGGACUCACUUCUGGGUCCUGGGAAAGAGAAAGGACUGUGAAUGAAAACCAGAAGACCCAUCUUCACCGAAGCCUCUGUGAGAUUUCAGAGAGCCAACCAGUAUUGCUCUGGUAAUAGCGGAUGCUGAGAGCAGACGGAACAGCAUUCUCCUCCACUGUGCCACAGACCUCUGAGCAGCACUGGCCCAUUUGCUGUCUGGGCUCCCAGUUUCAGUGGCGGCACUCAGCAUAACAUGUCACGGUGGUACCCAGUAAGAGGGAGAUGGCCUGGAGCUCAAGCAGUUUCCUCAAGAGAGACACAGGAAUGGAGGAGCCCAAAGUGCAACUGGGCCUAGCAGGAGACAGCAGCAUUCUGGUUUACAGUAGGUAUGGGUGAACCUGCAGGAUACAGUGAUACCCAACAGAGAAAAAAGCAUAAAAAUGGCAUCUUUCACAGGAAUUAUAACCUAGCACAUGUGAGACACACCCCAAGACUUUUACGUGUGUGAGGAGGAGAGCAAACUCUAGAGAGUGCUCCAUUUCAGACUUCUCACCUCUCUUCCUCUUCCCUAACGCCAAUCGUAAAAGUUGUUACUAAAGGAAUAAAGUGAUGUUUCUUCUCAGGCAUUUGGUCAAGCCACGCCCAAGCCACAAAGCCUUCCUCUGGUUUUCUUUAUAUUUGGAUUGGAUUCAGGCAUCUGGAAUUUAUGAGUUAAUAAUAAUAUUUAUCUUGUAAGGUUGUUAGGAAGAUCUAGGGAUUUAAUGCUUGUUAAGGACAUAAAACAGUGCUGGACACGUAGUAAGCCCUCCCAAGUACUAGCUCUAAUAUGAUUGCUGUGGAAAUCUACCUCCCAAAUGGGCUGCCCUUUCUACGACAUCGACUUAGAUUUAAAUUGUGACUCACCAUUUACUGCUAUAUGUCCUUGGGCAAAAUACUUUGCCUCUUGGUAAUUUGAAUUAAUCCCCCAAAAUACAGAGUGCACUGUGUGCCAGGCAUUGUGAUAAACAGCUCAAACAUGGUUCCUGACUGCAAAGCACCCACUCUCUGGGGAUGGGGACAGGCAACCAAAUAAGCAACUAUAACACAGAGCUGUAAGGACAGUAGAAGCUCAUGUAUCCAACCUGAGUUGGACUAGUGGUUGAUAGACUUCAGUAAAAAUGGAGAAUCAUUAAAAAAAUGAUUAUGUGCCUUGAAGGUUCAUUUCAGCUUAAAACAUAAAUAUACAUUAACUUGCCAAUUUUUGAUGUAGGGACAAGGGCUUUUCUUUAGGUAUAUGUCCAACAACUGCAGUCCCAGGUCAUCUUUCUGACAUAAACCACAUGCAUAAUACAUUUUUUAAAUUUCCAGUUUUAAUUUCUUUAAAUGGGAGCAAGAACUUAGAUACUCGAAAUCAAUCUGAGGGUGGAAUCUGUUAGAUUUUUAACAAUUUUUUUUCCCAUUUAUAGUUGUCACAUCUAUACCUAAUGUGACAGCAGUUUUUAGCAGCUCACAUUCAUGUCUUUCUGCAGUAAUUUUCAUAGAAAGAACUACUUCCUUUCUAUACUCAGAUUUUUGAAUUUAUGUACUAUUUAAUUGAAUGGCAGUUAUAGUAACAAGUGAGACUGACAUAAAAUAAGAUUGUAACAAACAUUUGUCUCUUGGUGGCAUACAAUUCAAUUCAACUAGUGGGAGCAGAAGUAAAUGGGUGCACUAGAGAGCAGCUUACCAGCUUUGAGCAUUGGUGAGCCCAGGGCUUUGUCAGUAUGUUUUACAAAGGAAAUGAUGUGUAUCAAGUGAGUUGGUUAAGUGGAGAUCGGUUUUGAGAGCAUUUACAAUACAAUGAAUGUCCAUAGGAAGGAUAUUUAACCCAGACUUGGGGAUCAGAGAAGCAUUUCCAGCGGAAGUGGUUAUAAGCUGAGACCUAAGAGUUUGGAAGGACCUAAGCAGAAGAAAAGUCAGGAAAUAGUCUUUCAGGCAUUGGAAACAGCUAGAGAGAGAAGCGUGCGCCUACAAUGGAGGAACUAAAAGUAUUGCAGUAGUGUGGUGUGUAGAAGGGGAAGUGUUGAAGAUGAAGCUUAAAGGAAUCUUGUAAGCCACUUUAGAAGUUAUAACUUUAUUUCAGGGACAAUAUAAGGUCAUGGAGAUUUUUUAAGUAGAGACUGACAGAAUCAGACUUGCAACUAGAAAGAUCACUCUGACUGAAUUAUGGGGAUAGUUUAGAGAUGAUGGUGGGACGGUGGAGGGAUGGGGAUUAAGAAAGUCUGGACCAAGUGAGUGAUGGUGGUGAUCUGAACUAGUGGAGGGCCGUGGGGAUGGAGCCGUGUGACUGUCUCCUUUGAGAGGCAGUUAAGGGGUAGAAUGAACAGUGACCACAGUGAGAAGAGAUCUGGUAAUGGUGCCAUUUACUAAAAUACAGAACAUUGCAGAAGAUUAGGUUUGGGGGAAAGAUGAAUUCAAUUUGGAAUAUAUUGAAACUGAGGCUUAAAGAAGUUGUGGGAUAUCCAUUAGGUGAAAAGGUGUCCCUAACUAUUUCUUAGAUGUUAAAUGUGGCCAAAACUCAUGUAAGGAAUGAAAAGUAUUCAAUUAAUUGUAUCAACCAGGAGGCCAGUGGUGACCUGGUGAAAGCAGUCUUAGAAAGAUAGUGGGCUCAGAUGCCAGAUGGUAGUGGAUUAAGAAACAUGUAGGAAUGAGGAAGUGACUAUAUGUAGUUAACCAGUUUGAGAAUUGGGGCUUUGAAGGAGAGGACAGAGGUAGUACAGCAGCUGGAAGGGGAGUAGGGGAUGAAGAACAUGCUUAAAUGUCACUGAGGUGAAGUUUGUAGGAAGGAACAUGUUGCAAAUGCAAGCAAGAGGGGGAAUGAGGGGAAACCCAUACUUGUUAAGGAAUGCUGUUGCGAGGAGGUAAAUAUGCAAACCCAUAUAAAGCACCAAGCACAAAGCCUGCAUAUGCUUUCUUAGUUCCUUUCAUUCUCUAUGUGCUGUCUAUUCCUUAUUUUGUCUCAUUUUGUCCUUCUCUACAACCUGAUGUGGUUACUUGGGCCUGUACUUUCUUGGCUGCAUGUCUUUUAGAAAGCUCUCUAGGUAAUUCUAAAUGGGCAACAAGGUUUAGGAACUAGUGGAGAAUAGGCCUAAUAUCUCGCCUAUCCCCUUUCCAUAUCUGUCCACUGUGCUUACACUCAACCCUUGUUUGUCAGAUUCCUUCUCUCAUCUUCACUGUCAUGUUCAGCUGCUCCGCAGAGGGGAUGGGCUCCUAACCAUGUCCAAGUCAUCUCGCGGACUCACUCAGACUUCACUCAAAGUUUCUGAGCCUUCCAUUUCUUUCACUAAGCUAAGAAGGGAGGCUUCUGUUCAUUGAGGAAAGAGGCCCUCUCCUCCCUGUGGCCUUAUCCCAAUGCUUAGCUUUCAUCUUUAAAAAAAAAAAAUUAAAAGGAUUAAAUACUCAGCUUAUUGCUGUACAAAGUAGGUGUUCGAAAAAUGUUAGUUUCCCUGUACAUCAUUCCUUUGGGCACAUUCUGUUUCCUCGUUGUUCACAUCUCUAAGUCAUUUCUCUGCCAUCAUUUAGAACUCAAUUUAUUUAUUUAUUUUUAGCAUUUUGGUGUAUUUCUUUCCAGUGUUUUCUAUACUUUAGAAAAAAUAUGGUUGAAAACAUGCUGUAUAUACUUUUUACGCUGCUAUUUUCAUGUAACCAUUUUCUUGUGCUGUUAAAAUGAUUAAAUAUGACUUUCGAUGACCACUUGAUAUCCCAUCUUACAAAUAUUUCACACUUCACUUGGCCAUUCUCCCACAGUUAGGCAUCUAGGUGCUAUGUCUUGAUACACAAAUCUUUGUUCACAUUGCUGAUUAUUUCCCUACACUAGACUCCUAGAAGUAGAUUCAUAUAGUAAAUCCUUUAAGAGGAAUAAGAAAGCUAGUCCGAUAUUAAGCAUUGGAAAUGGUACUGAUGCUUUCUCACCAGCAGAGUACUCACUUUUCAAAUCCCAUUGAUAUUACAAAAAAGAAUGGCUUUAUUAAUCCCAUUCAUUUUUACAAGUGUCAUCAUCUUCUUCCUCUUAAAUGUAUUAAUCAUCUCAAUGUUUACGUGUUAUGCACUUUUCAAAGAAAACUACAUAGAUCUGAUGCCUGCACUCUAAAAAUUUACAGUCAAGAAAGACGUACCGAUGCAGGCAGGUAUGCUUAUGAUUCACCAAAUGCAGACAAAAACUAUGAAAACUGCCACAUGCAUGGACCUCCAAAUGGGUCUAGGGUAAUCAUAUUUAAAGGGACAGGAUCAAGGUAUAUUUACUACAUAUAAAUAUGUAAAUGUAAAGAACAUGUGCAAUCUGCUCAUUCCCUGUGACGGUCUCUGUUCUAGCCCAUUUCCUCCUCUCUUCCAGUGCAUAAUAACAAGUGGCUGCUCUCAAAAAGGUACUGUAACCGCCAUCUGCUUGGUUAACUUCCUCCCCAUCCCAUCCCUCUUGACUCACCUUUGCCAUGUCAUGCCAACAACACCUUCCUGUCCUGCAGUCCUGCAUCAGGUCCCAGACCAAUCCUGCCCCUAAUCAGUGGGGGUGAUGGAUGGUGCUGGCAGCAAGAGCCUACAUGAUCUCUUGUAGCUAGUCAGCCUGGAGUUGUGUUUGGAAACCACAGGCCAUGCCCGUGGCUGUUAGAUGUUCCAGACACCAUCUGCUGCCUGUCUGUCAUCAUCAUCUUCAGGUGCUGUGCUCAUCUGGCAGAGCCUCCACCUACUGCCCCCUGCUGCAGCUGUCCCAUGAGGGUCUGCCUUCUCCUACCCCACAAGAUAGCCCAUCUAGGGUCCAGGAACAAGCCUGACCUUGUCUGCCUCAUUCCCCUUCAAGAUAAAAAUAUCAUUAAUAACAAUGAUAUUUACUAUUAACUCCUUUAAUUGUUGGCCCUUUCAUUCCUGGCCAUGACAAGGGCUAUACCAUAACUUACUCAUGAAGAAACUCAUUGGAAACUUUUAUCACUGCCCUCGGAACUAACAUCUCUUGUCUAUCCAAAACAGGCCUGAAGGUGAGGGAAAAGCUGAAAACCUACCUGUCUUAUCACUUCUGUGCUGAGUCCAGGAAUGUGCUCAUCCUGCUUUCUCCAGCAAUCCAGUCACAAAGAAGCCAAGGCAUUGUCAAAAGAGUGUUCAUUAAAAUGAAGGCACUGACUUCAUUCUUGGGCAGAUUCACUUCCCAUGGAGUAUCCAGUCCUUUUGUUUAGUUUUCUUAUUCUUUCCAUGUCUAAUCUAUAUCUGUUUUACUGUCUUCCAGUUAUUGGGGUAUUCAAAGUCAAUUAGAAAGAAUUUUAAAUAGUUUCUUUCUUUCUAUGUUAGCUUCAUGCUAACAUGAACCUAUGCUCAGAAAAGAAGACUUUUAGUUUUCUAGGUACCACAAUCAUCUACACCCACUCUCUUACCACUGACUGAGAAUUAAUUGUCAUCAGAUAUCCAUCCACCAAGGACGAGUUACAAGUUAUGCCAGCUGCGUAGUGAAUAAUACUAAUACAGGUCAUUACAGAUCAUUACACUCUUUUACUCUCUCAUCUCAUCGGAUGUAAAACAAAAAUUAUGGAUUGGUACUUUAAAUAUUUUUUAUUGUGAGGCUUCUGUCCUGUCCAAAUUAGUUUUAAUUUUUUUCAGUUUUAUUUUACUAUUUCUGUUCUUUGCCCAUCUAUCCUUUGGGGCAUUGGUAGUGUUCAUAUGUAUGAUUGAAUACAUAUUUAUAUGCUUGGAGAUAGCUAUUUUGUAUUGGUAGUGAGUAUUUUUCUUUUGUUUUUAUCGCUAGCUAUUUUUAUUGCUUAGAAGUUAGUUUACAUAACUAUAUUUGACCAUUUUAUUUCAUUUGUAAUUUCUUCUUUUGAUUCAACUGUAAGAAAAUUAUCACUUUAAAGGGUGAAUAAAAACCCUAUUCCAUCCUUAGGGUACCAUUGUCCAUCCAUCCUUGAGUUCUUACACUGACAUUCUCUGGGCCUCAAAGCCCAGGCCCCAAAACCCUUCAAUACAAUAUUUCAACACAGAAUGAAUUCUUGUUUAAUGACUUCAACUGAGCAGUUACCUUCAGAGUCUGUUGCCCCCCUGGUUAUUUGGUAUUUAGAAUAAUUUCCCAUGUUUUCUGCAGUCCCAGGGGCCUAUGGCUUACUCUACCUACACCCCAGUUGGUAACAAGGUUCAUUCAUUCACUCAGUCAUUCCUGAAUUCAUUCACCUCACUGUCAUUUAUUUAUUCUUUUACUUGUGGCAGACACUCUAGGGUGGCCCCCAAUGACCCCUGCUUCUUGGUGUUCACCCUUGAGUGUGGGGUGGGACCUGUGACUUGCUCCUAAUCAAUAGAAUAUGGCAAAAGUGAUGGGAUAUCAUUCCUGUGAUGAUGUUACAAAAUACAAUACUGUCUUGCUAGCAGACUCACUCCAGAGACUCUCCUUGCUGACUCAACAAAGAAAACGGCCAUAUUGGAGAAGCUCACAUGGUAAGGAACUGCAGGUGACUUCCCGCAGACAGCAGGCAAAAAGGCAGGACCCUCAGACCUAGACUGAAAGGAAAUGAAUUCUGCGAAGGACCUGAGGGAGCUUAGAUGUGGAUUCCUCCCUGUGGAAUCUCCAGAUGACAACAUGGCCCAGCUGAUACCUUGACUGCAUCCUUGGGACACCCUAAGCAGAAAACCCCGUUAAACUGUGCCUAGACUCCUGUGGAAACUGAGAUAAUAAAUAGGUAUGGUUUUAAGCCAUUAAGCAUGUGGUAGUUUGUUAUGCAGAAAUAGAAAACUAGUGCACUAUGUAACACUAAAUACUAUAUACAGUAUCUCACUCAGAGCUUGAAAUAACCUUUAUGCCCAAUUUGCAGAUGAAGAAAUGGAGUCUCAGGAACUGAAUCCAAAUCAUUCUGCUUGUAAUCACCAUAUUGUUAUGGGAUGUUUCAUGUUAAUGUGUUUCAUUAUUUCAAGGAUUCAAGUUUAUCAUGGUUCAAAACAUACCAACCACUUUUAGAGAAAUUCCACCUGACACACCUGGUGCACAAAGUGUUAAUUAUUCAUACUGCGUGAUUGAGGAUUUUGGAGUCAGAUUCACCUGCAAUAUUUGUAAUACCAGUGGAGAUCUACAUCAACGCAGAAUUUAUACAGCAGCUGGUGCUAGUCAAAGCUAAUGAUGGAAUUUCAGUUUAAUAAAAAGACCCCCAACUGAGCAUACCAUCUUGAAAAAAGUGUACUUAUCAAACAGCUUUCAAUCAGUUCAAGAGCGACACCUUAAUUGGGAAGAGGAAGAUUUGCAGAGUAGUUUGUCAUCAUGCCAAUUCCAGAUCAAUACUACAUGUAUGCUCUUUGGUAGAUGUAGCUUUUACUUUAUAAUAAGUCAGUCACAUCUACAACCUCUACAAUUGGAUAGGAGAUCUUUGUUUCAUUUGAAAAUGUGUAACGUAUGCUCUUUUAAUUCAUUGUGUGUCUAUAAUAAACAUGAACAAAAUUUAGGCUUGCGAUUAUAAAGGUCAAUAUUUUUUAUUGUUUUAUGGAUUUAUUUUUUGGUAACAGGAAAACAGUGCUUAUUAAAUUCUUUAUAUUUUCAAAAA